UUGACGGGGACCCGCACAAGCGGUGGAUGAUGUGGAUUAAUUCGAUGCAACGCGAAAACCUUACUACCCUUGACAUGUCUGGAACCUUGCUGAGAGGCGAGGGUGCCUUCGGGAGCCAGAACACAGGUGCUGCAUGGCUGUCGUCAGCUCGUGUCGUGAGAUGUUGGGUUAAGUCCCGCAACGAGCGCAACCCUUGUCAUUAGUUGCCAUCAUUUAGUUGGGCACUCUAAUGAGACUGCCGGUGACAAACCGGAGGAAGUGGGGAUGACGUCAAGUCCUCAUGGCCCUUAUGGGUAGGGCUUCACACGUCAUACAAUGGUCGGUACAGAGGGUUGCCAAGCCGCGAGGUGGAGCCAAUCCCUUAAAGCCGAUCGUAGUCCGGAUCGUAGUCUGCAACUCGACUGCGUGAAGUCGGAAUCGCUAGUAAUCGUGAAUCAGAAUGUCACGGUGAAUACGUUCCCGGGCCUU
rnacentral:rRNA from 1 species